GGAGACUUCAAAACAAGAUCACAGGUUGCUGUGUCUACAACUUCCAAUACUAUGUUCAAUAAUAGCAGAGAAAUGGGACAUCUUUGCCUUGUGCCUGCUCUGAGAGAAGAGGAUUUCAGUUCUUCAUUGUGUUUUAUGAUAAUAGCAUUGGGCUCAUUGUAUACAGUCUUAGCUAUAUUGAGAAACCAGAAAAUGAAGACUAAGCUACGAAAACUUUCAACCAAGAAAACUUCCCCAGAAAACAUA